rnacentral:rRNA from 1 species
GACGAACGCUGGCGGCGCGCCUAACACAUGCAAGUCGAACGAGAGAUGAGGAGCUUGCUCUUCAAAUCGAGUGGCGAACGGGUGAGUAACGCGUGAGGAACCUGCCUCAAAGAGGGGGACAACAGUUGGAAACGACUGCUAAUACCGCAUAAGCCCACGGCUCGGCAUCGAGCAGAGGGAAAAGGAGCAAUCCGCUUUGAGAUGGCCUCGCGUCCGAUUAGCUAGUUGGUGAGGUAACGGCCCACCAAGGCGACGAUCGGUAGCCGGACUGAGAGGUUGAACGGCCACAUUGGGACUGAGACACGGCCCAGACUCCUACGGGAGGCAGCAGUGGGGAAUAUUGCACAAUGGGGGAAACCCUGAUGCAGCGACGCCGCGUGGAGGAAGAAGGUCUUCGGAUUGUAAACUCCUGUUGUUGAGGAAGAUAAUGACGGUACUCAACAAGGAAGUGACGGCUAACUACGUGCCAGCAGCCGCGGUAAAACGUAGGUCACAAGCGUUGUCCGGAAUUACUGGGUGUAAAGGGAGCGCAGGCGGGAGAACAAGUUGGAAGUGAAAUCCAUGGGCUCAACCCAUGAACUGCUUUCAAAACUGUUUUUCUUGAGUAGUGCAGAGGUAGGCGGAAUUCCCGGUGUAGCGGUGGAAUGCGUAGAUAUCGGGAGGAACACCAGUGGCGACGUCGGCCUACUGGGCACCAACUGACGCUGAGGCUCGAAAGUGUGGGUAGCAAACAGGAUUAGAUACCCUGGUAGUCCACACCGUAAACGAUGAUUAUUAGGUGUUGGAGGAUUGACCCCUUCAGUGCAGCAGUUAACACAAUAAGUAAUCCACCUGGGGAGUACGACCGCAAGGUUGAAACUCAAAGGAAUUGACGGGGGCCCGCACAAGCAGUGGAGUAUGUGGUUUAAUUCGACGCAACGCGAAGAACCUUACCAAGUCUUGACAUCCUGCGACGCACAUAGAAAUAUGUGUUUCCUUCGGGACGCAGAGACAGGUGGUGCAUGGUUGUCGUCAGCUCGUGUCGUGAGAUGUUGGGUUAAGUCCCGCAACGAGCGCAACCCUUAUGGUCAGUUACUACGCAAGAGGACUCUGGCCAGACUGCCGUUGACAAAACGGAGGAAGGUGGGGAUGACGUCAAAUCAUCAUGCCCUUUAUGACUUGGGCUACACACGUACUACAAUGGCGUUAAACAAAGAGAAGCAAGACCGCGAGGUGGAGCAAAACUCAGAAACAACGUCCCAGUUCGGACUGCAGGCUGCAACUCGCCUGCACGAAGUCGGAAUUGCUAGUAAUCGUGGAUCAGCAUGCCACGGUGAAUACGUUCCCGGGCCUU